AGUGAACGCUGGCGGUAGGCCUAACACAUGCAAGUCGAACGGCAGCACAGUAAGAGCUUGCUCUUACGGGUGGCGAGUGGCGGACGGGUGAGGAAUACAUCGGAAUCUACUUUUUCGGGGGGGAUAACGUAGGGAAACUUACGCUAAUACCGCAUACGACCUACGGGUUAAAGCAGGGGAUCUUCAGACCUUGCGCGAUUGAAUGAGCCGAUGUCGGAUUAGCUAGUUGGCGAGGUAAAGGCCCACCAAGGCGACGAUCCGUAGCUGGUCUGAGAGGAUGAUCAGCCACACUGGAACUGAGACACGGUCCAGACUCCUACGGGAGGCAGCAGUGGGGAAUAUUGGACAAUGGGCGCAAGCCUGAUGCAGCCAUACCGCGUGGGUGAAGAAGGCCUUCGGAUUGUAAAGCCCUUUUGUUGGGAAAGAAAAGCAGCAGAUUAAUACCCCGAUGUUCUGACGGUACCCAAAGAAUAAGCACCGGCUAACUUCGUG
rnacentral:rRNA from 1 species